rnacentral:rRNA from 1 species
UACGAAGGGGGCUAGCGUUGCUCGGAAUUACUGGGCGUAAAGGGCGCGUAGGCGGCACUGUUAGUCAGGCGUGAAAUUCCUGGGCUCAACCUGGGGACUGCGCUUGAUACGGCAGAGCUAGAGGAUGGAAGAGGCUCGCGGAAUUCCCAGUGUAGAGGUGAAAUUCGUAGAUAUUGGGAAGAACACCGGUGGCGAAGGCGGCGAGCUGGUCCAUUACUGACGCUGAGGCGCGACAGCGUGGGGGGCGAACAGG